GGCAUUUACAAUAUCAGUGUAGCCAAGAUCUUUUACCAUAAAGAAAUUCAUAUUUGGCCAGCUUUGCUCUUGGUUAUAUCAACACAGUUCUUGGGUUUCGGAUUUGCCGGUUUGUUUCUAAAAUUUCUAGUAGAUUCACCGAAUAUGUGGUGGCCUAGUGUAGUUGCCAGCAUCCCUCUUUACAGGGCAUUACAUGAGGAGGAUAAGAGGCCCAAGGGAGGGUUAUCACGUUAUCAAUUUUUUUUUAUUGUCUUUGCUGCGAUUUUCGCUUACAGCAUCAUCCCUGCUUAUUUCUUCCAGUCUAUUACUGCUCUGUCCUUUGUGUGUUGGAUAUGGAAGGACUCUAUCACUGCACAACAAAUUGGCUCCGGGAUGAAUGGA